rnacentral:rRNA from 1 species
CCUACGGGAGACAGCAGUGGGGAAUAUUGCACAAUGGGGGAAACCCUGAUGCAGCGACGCCGCGUGAGUGAAGAAGGAAUUCGUGAUGUAAAGCUCUAUCAGCAGGGAAGAAAAUGACGGUACCUGAGUAAGAAGCCCCGGCUAACUACGUGCCAGCAGCCGCGGUAAUACGUAGGGGGCAAGCGUUAUCCGGAGUUACUGGGUGUAAAGGGAGCGUAGACGGCAGUGCAAGUCUGGAGGGAAAGGCGGGGGCUCAACCCCCGGACUGCUCUGGAAACUGUACGGCUGGAGUGCAGGAGAGGUAAGUGGAAUUCCUAGUGUAGCGGUGAAAUGCGUAGAUAUUAGGCGGAACCCCAGUGGCGAAGGCGGCUUACUGGACUGUAACUGACGUUGAUGCUCGAAAGCGUGGGGAGCAAACAGGAUUAGAUACCCCAGUAGUC